rnacentral:rRNA from 1 species
UAAGGAAUAUUGCGCAAUGGGCGAAAGCCUGACGCAGCGACGCCGCGUGGGGGAUGAAGGUCUUCGGAUUGUAAACCCCUUUCGGGAGGGAAGAUGGAACGAGCAAUCGUUCGGACGGUACCUCCAGAAGCAGCCACGGCCAACUUCGUGCCAGCAGCCGCGGUAAUACGAAGGUGGCAGGCGUUGUUCGGAUUCACUGGGCGUACAGGGUGUGUAGGCGGUUUGGUAAGCCUUCUGUUAAAGCUUCGGGCCCAACCCGGAAAGCGCAGAGGGUACUGCCGGGCUAGAGGGUGGGAGAGGAGCGCGGAAUUCCCGGUGUAGCGGUGAAAUGCGUAGAGAUCGGGAGGAAGGCCGGUGGCGAAGGCGGCGCUCUGGAACAUACCUGACGCUGAGACACGAAAGCGUGGGGAGCAAACAGGAUUAGAUACCCUGGUAGUCCACGCCCUAAACUAUGGAUACUAAGUGUCGGCGGGUUACCGCCGGUGCCGCAGCUAACGCAUUAAGUAUCCCGCCUGGGAAGUACGGCCGCAAGGCUG